AGCUAAUACCGGAUAAGAUAUCGAACCGCAUGGUUCGAUAGUGAAAGAUGGUUUUGCUAUCACUUAUAGAUGGACCCGCGCCGUAUUAGCUAGUUGGUGAGGUAACGGCUCACCAAGGCAACGAUACGUAGCCGACCUGAGAGGGUGAUCGGCCACACUGGAACUGAGACACGGUCCAGACUCCUACGGGAGGCAGCAGCC
rnacentral:rRNA from 1 species